rnacentral:rRNA from 1 species
CAGUAGCCGCGGUAAUCCGUAGGCGGCAAGCGUUGUCCGGAAUUAUUGGGCGUAAAGGGCUCGCAGGCGGUUCCUUAAGUCUGAUGUGAAAGCCCCCGGCUCAACCGGGGAGGGUCAUUGGAAACUGGGAAACUUGAGUGCAGAAGAGGAGAGUGGAAUUCCACGUGUAGCGGUGAAAUGCGUAGAGAUGUGGAGGAACACCAGUGGCGAAGGCGACUCUCUGGUCUGUAACUGACGCUGAGGAGCGAAAGCGUGGGGAGCGAACAGGAUUAGAUACCCCAGUAGUCCCUGUCUCUUAUAC